rfam:Rhodobacterales bacterium 65-51 scnpilot_p_inoc_scaffold_1355, whole genome shotgun sequence.
AGGGGUAUAGCUCAGUUGGUAGAGCAUCGGUCUCCAAAACCGAGGGUCGCGGGUUCAAGUCCUGCUGCCCCUG